GCAAGUCGAGCGAGAAGGUUAUGAUAGAUUCUUCGGAUGAAUAAGUUACUGGAGAGCGGCGGACGGGUGAGUAACGCGUGGGUAACCUGCCCUAUGGAGGGGGAUAACUAAGAGAAAUUUUAGCUAAUACCGCAUAAGCACACAGGACCACAUGGUCUAGUGUGAAAAACUCCGGUGCCAUAGGAUGGACCCGCGUAAGAUUAGCUAGUUGGUAAGGUAAUGGCUUACCAAGGCGACGAUCUUUAGCCGACCUGAGAGGGUGAUC
rnacentral:rRNA from 1 species